GGGCCGUUAGCUCAACCAGGUAGAGCACCUGACUCUUAAUCAGUAGGUUAUUGGUUCGAUUCCAAUACGGCCCA
rnacentral:tRNA from 1 species